UUUUGUGUCCCCCCCCCCCACCCCCCCAUUCACGUACGAUCCAAAGGCGCCACGUUACGUCACGCCCGGUUGCCGGCCAUCACUCCAGCAGCACUGAGAGCGGGCUCACCCCAAAACGACCUUGAGCGGCCCCUGCGGGAUUCAGCCGAGUGACUGGUGGAGAUGGACGUAAUGAGACAGGUCCAUGCAGGCUGGGAGACGGCGGCCGGGCCAUAAACAAGGUGAAAAGCAAUCAGGUGAGGGCGGGCUGCGAGUCUCAAGAGGAGAGCGGGCGGAGACAAAGACAAAGACAUGAUUUUCACCACAGAAAUGACAUUUUGCUUCCAGUCGGCUCUCGUUUUAUUUAUUUUUUACGCUCGUCCUUAUGUGAGUAACAGCUCACCUUAUAUCAUACCCUUUGUAAUUACAGGUAUAUGCUACA